GCAGCUCGACUGCACAGAUCAGCACCGCAUUGGUAGAUAACCUAUUGUGUGCUGUCCCCUGUGGCAGUCGGCUGCUAGACUAAAGACGGACUCCAAGAAUGCCGUGACUGAUUCCCAUUGUCAUGAUGUUCAUUUCACCCCGUCGACAUU
rnacentral:snoRNA from 1 species